ACGAACGCUGGCGGCGUGCUUAACACAUGCAAGUCGAACGGAAAGGCCCUGCUUUUGUGGGGUGCUCGAGUGGCGAACGGGUGAGUAACACGUGAGUAACCUGCCCUUGACUUUGGGAUAACUUCAGGAAACUGGGGCUAAUACCGGAUAGGAGCUCCUGCUGCAUGGUGUGGGUUGGAAAGUUUCGGCGGUUGGGGAUGGACUCGCGGCUUAUCAGCUUGUUGGUGGGGUAGUGGCUUACCAAGGCUUUGACGGGUAGCCGGCCUGAGAGGGUGACCGGCCACAUUGGGACUGAGAUACGGCCCAGACUCCUACGGGAGGCAGCAGUGGGGAAUAUUGCACAAUGGGCGGAAGCCUGAUGCAGCAACGCCGCGUGCGGGAUGACGGCCUUCGGGUUGUAAACCGCUUUCGCCUGUGACGAAGCGUGAGUGACGGUAAUGGGUAAAGAAGCACCGGCUAACUACGUG
rnacentral:rRNA from 1 species